rnacentral:misc_RNA from 1 species
GGAAUCCGCCGCCACCCCACUUGGAAAUAUCUUUCCGCUGCGAUCGUAGAUAUUAUAACGAGCAUUACUAUAGUCAGAGAAGCAAGUACGGAGACCAGAUUGAUUUGCGAGCUCCCAAACCGGAUUGGACUCUUUACCACCAACACCGGCGAUCCAACCAGCACCGAGCUCCACCGAGACACCACCGAAAUUUUCCUUACGGAUCCUACCGCCAAUACGAUCGGACGCUUCUAAAAUCACCAGGUCCUCUAUUCCAUUCUCCGCCAACACCUUCGCCGCAGAUAAACCGGAGAUGCCAGCGCCAAUGAUGAUGACGGAGGAGCGAGAAGGAAAGUCCAUUGUCGAAAGGAAUUGAAGGGAAGGAAAG